rnacentral:sRNA from 2 species
ACCCCCGGGUCGGUGCCGCAGCGGCAGCGAAGUCCGGUGCAAUCCCGGCGCUGUCCCGCAACUGUGAUGGUCACCUCGGGUGGCCUGAGCCAGAUCGCCUGCCCUUCGGCAUGUCACCGACCCUCGCGGUAAGGGUCGCGU